GGGAUCCACAGCACCAAGGAGAGGACUGGCAUGUCCUCAAGAAACACUGAAGGUGCUACAAGGGCCCUGGCAGCCAGUUUGAAGAGAGGAUGCCUGCGAAUCUCAGGUUGAUGUUCAUCACCUCCCAGCCAACAACUCUUCUCCACAACCAUCUCCUGCUCCUGAGAGCUGCCAUUCCCACCUCCUGCCUCACUAAAGAGAAGCAGGCUUUGCUGGAAUUGGCAGUCAACUGGCAUUUUUCUCUACUUGUAUCCUGAAGAAGAAGAAAAUCUGUAUCAGAGAACAAGGAGUAGAUUCCCCCCAAACAAACUCUCUAAAGUAAGCAGUGUGUGUGCCUUGGUUACAAGCCACAAGCAAUGAAAGGGCAUAUCUGUGCAAGAAUUGGCAGUUCUCUGGGUCCUAUAAUUCUCAUCAGGGAGGAAGGCUCAACAAACCAAUUAACUAAUUAAACCAAUUAACCAAAUGUGUAAUUAACCUUGGGCACAGAGGUGUCAACAGAAGCCCAACAAAGAAAUUACUCUCCUUCUGCAAUUGCCUGGUGGCCUUAAGCCUUUUUGUUUUCAGUCUUAAAGGCAUAUCCACAGAGGGAAAAUAAUCUCUGGGCAAAGAAUUAAUGGCUGAGCAAUAAUAUCAUAGAGAUGGGAUGGAAUCAAGCCAGGAGCAGUGUUUCCCACGCCAGUUACAGUUCAUUAUCUGUCAGCAAAUAUACAGAAGUUCUGGAGGACUUUGUCCGUGAAAUACUGGCCAAUUCAUGAUCAUUUCUUUUGAGAACACACAUGUCCAUUAUGAAGUGCAGGGGAAUAGCUAAGAAAAUUUCAAACUAGCCACUACAAGAAGAUGGUCAAGCACCUGGUAAUUCAAACAGUUGGUCCUAGGAGGAAAGGAACCAAGAAAAGGAUGAAAAAAGUGUUGUAGAGUUUUGAUCUGUGCACAGAAAGGCCCAGAAAGAUGAACUUGUGCAAUUGUAUGAAUACUUGGCUCCAUGCAACUCUGUGGAAAUUCACCUUUGCCAAAACAAUCAAUUCAUGACUCGCCAUGAUCACUUUCAAGUAGCUUACCCUAUAAAAUUUGGGUUUUUGAGUAGCUUCAGGAAUGUUAUUAAGCAUUCAUGAUAUACAAGACACUAAGCUAUUUUCUUUUAGCAGCUGUUUAGCUUAUAUUUAGGGGUGAAAUGCAGAAAAAAAGGUAACCAAGAAAAAAUUGUAUGUUAAGCACCAAAUGGAUAAUGCAGACUAUAGUCAAAUAUCUAAUGACUGAAUGAGACGAACGGAGACAUAAACCAUUACUUAUCCCAUUUCAGAGAAACCAAAAUCGUGAUGGAGAGGCACACACAAUCAAAUCAUUAACAGGGGAAGUGAAAGCUACAGCAUUAGGAAAUGUGAAGCUUAUCAGGAGAAUAAAUAUGUAUGUGAAAUCUUACACUGGAUUUUCCUGUUCCUCUUUCAUAAAAGAUGCCAGUUUUCGACAUUGACCUUGGGCAAGAUCAAAGCUCACCUGGGCUAAGUCAGCACACACUUUCUAAUCCUUAAGUAAAAAGAUACACUUGUGAACAGUAACACCCAGCCAAGCUCACAGACUCUACACACAAUCAAGAGACUUAAACGGUAAUUUAUAACCAGGUGAGUAGGAUGUUUAAGGAACCAUGUUUCAUUCACUAAACCAAGGAUCCUGUUCCUGCCCCAAGUUCAGAAAAAGCACUCGGUAUGAUUUCAAUUAACCUCUCUAAGCACCCAUUUCCCCAUCUGAAAAGAAAAUGAUGGGCUUUGGAAUAGAACAUCCUAUAAGCCUUCUCAUGAUUUGAAUAGAUUAUUUUCCACUGAUAAAGGACGAGAUUCUCUGACACCAAACGCUUCCCUUCCUAAUACUUUGGAUCAACCAGAAACCUGAAAAUUGCAUCCAAGAAGCUUUUCUUAAGAUAAAGCGAUAGCAUUUUCCCGAGAAUAAUUGCCAGUCUCGUUGAAACUUUAGCCAGGGAACUUAUCAAAUAAAGAAACCACCUAGUUCCAGACCAUAGGCAGAGUCCAGGAAAGUCAAACCCACGACCUCAUGGAAAUUUAGAAUUACACAGUUUAGAAUUACACAGUUGUUGGGUCAGGUUGAAAGUAAAGAAUGUGAAAUUGUUUAUCUGAGAUUCUCCAAGACCGUGUGAGCUGGGGCCCAUUGUUUUAAAAUCAUAUAACUGAAGAAAGCAAACUCCUAAAAAGAGAUGUGUAUCAUCUCCUCGAGGCUGCACACUGCCAAGUGAUGGACUGAUCCCCACUCUAUGUGCUCUUGUUUAUCUCUGCCUCAGUACUGAAACAAGAUGGUGUCCACACAAGCUGAAUCUUGGGGAUGGAUGGAUGCUGGUAAUAAGAGGCUGAAUUCCAGUUCUAAGUAAGGUGCUUCAUACAGAUAAAACAGAUUUUGUUCUAUCUCAAUGCAAAUCAAGUGCCUUUGUACUGACAUGGAAUGGAUUUGUUAAUAAUUGUAAUGUUUGAUGGACUGUUAAUAUUAAAUGUAAGAUGUUCAAAUGUUUUAAUUCCAUUUAAUAAAUUCUGAGGCAGUCAAAAAAGAGAUUAAAAGUAAGUCCACAAUAAAUAUCAUCAAGUGUAUAAAAA